GAUGAACGCUGGCGGCGUGCCUAAUACAUGCAAGUCGAGCGAACAGACGAGGAGCUUGCUCCUCUGACGUUAGCGGCGGACGGGAGAGUAACACGUGGAUAACCUACCUAUAAGACUGGGAUAACUUCGGGAAACCGGAGCUAAUACCGGAUAAUAUAUUGAACCGCAUGGUUCAAUAGUGAAAGACGGUUUUGCUGGCACUUAUAGAUGGAUCCGCGCCGCAUUAGCUAGUUGGUAAGGUAACGGCUUACCAAGGCAACGAUGCGUAGCCGACCUGAGAGGGGGAUCGGCCACACUGGAACUGAGCCACGGUCCAGACUCCUACGGGAGGCAGCAGUAGGGAAUCUGCCGCAAUGGGCGAAAGCUUGACGGAGCAACGCCGCGUGAGUGAUGAAGGUCUUCGGAUCGUAAAACUCUGUUAUUAGGGAAGAACAAAUGUGUAAGUAACUAUGCACGUCUUGACGGUACCUAAUCAGAAAGCCACGGCUAACUACGUG
rnacentral:rRNA from 1 species